UACGGAGGGGGCAAGCGUUGUUCGGAAUUACUGGGCGUAAAGAGCGCGCAGGCGGUCGUUCAAGUCGCGUGUGAAAGCCCCCGGCUCAACUGGGGAGGGUCACGCGAUACUGAUCGACUCGAAGGCAGGAGAGGGUAGUGGAAUUCCCGGUGUAGUGGUGAAAUGCGUAGAUAUCGGGAGGAACACCAGUGGCGAAGGCGACUACCUGGCCUGUUCUUGACGCUGAGGCGCGAAAGCUAGGGGAGCAAACGGG
rnacentral:rRNA from 1 species